rnacentral:rRNA from 1 species
GCCUAAUACAUGCAAGUCGAGCGAACAGAUAAGGAGCUUGCUCCUUUGAAGUUAGCGGCGGACGGGUGAGUAACACGUGGGUAACCUACCUAUAAGACUGGGAUAACUUCGGGAAACCGGAGCUAAUACCGGAUAACAUUUAGAACCGCAUGGUUCUAAAGUGAAAGAUGGUUUUGCUAUCACUUAUAGAUGGACCCGCGCCGUAUUAGCUAGUUGGUAAGGUAACGGCUUACCAAGGCGACGAUACGUAGCCGACCUGAGAGGGUGAUCGGCCACACUGGAACUGAGACACGGUCCAGACUCCUACGGGAGGCAGCAGUAGGGAAUCUUCCGCAAUGGGCGAAAGCCUGACGGAGCAACGCCGCGUGAGUGAUGAAGGGUUUCGGCUCGUAAAACUCUGUUAUUAGGGAAGAACAAAUGUGUAAGUAACUGUGC